rnacentral:rRNA from 1 species
AACGUAGGAGACAAACGUUAUUCGGAUUCACUGGGCGUAAAGGGUGCGCAGGCGGUUGGGUGUGUCAGAUGUGAAAUCCCGAGGCUUAACCUCGGAACUGCGUCUGAAACUACUCGACUAGAGUAUUGGAGAGGGUAACGGAAUUCACGGUGUAGCAGUGAAAUGCGUAGAUAUCGUGAGGAACACCAGAGGCGAAGGCGGUUACCUGGACAAUUACUGACGCUCAGGCACGAAAGCAUGGGGAGCAAAAGGG